rnacentral:lncRNA from 1 species
ACUGGUUUAAGGGAAUCUGAAGAAAAACUAAAGCAGCAACAGCAGGAGUCUGCACGCAGGGAGAACAUUCUUGUCAUGCCGCUAGCAACCAAGGAGCAGGAGAUGCAAGAGUGCACUCCUCAAAUCAAGUACCUCAAGCAAGUUCAGCAGUUCAGUGUGGCCCAACUGAGAUCAACAAUGGUAGACCCAGCGAUCAACUUGUUUUUCCUAAAAAUGAAAGGUGAACUGGAACAGACUAAAGACAAACUGGAACAAGCCCAAAAUGAACUGAAUGCCUGGAAGUUUACGCCUAAUAGGUAA